ACUCCUGCGGGAGGCAGCAGUGGGGAAUUUUGGACAAUGGGCGAAAGCCUGAUCCAGCAAUGCCGCGUGAGUGAAGAAGGCCUUCGGGUUGUAAAGCUCUUUUGUCAGGGAAGAAACGGUGAGAGCUAAUAUCUUUUGCUAAUGACGGUACCUGAAGAAUAAGCACCGGCUAACUACGUGCCAGCAGCCGCGGUAAUACGUAGGGUGCAAGCGUUAAUCGGAAUUACUGGGCGUAAAGCGUGCGCAGGCGGUUUUGUAAGUCUGAUGUGAAAUCCCCGGGCUCAACCUGGGAAUUGCAUUGGAGACUGCAAGGCUAGAAUCUGGCAGAGGGGGGUAGAAUUCCACGUGUAGCAGUGAAAUGCGUAGAUAUGUGGAGGAACACCGAUGGCGAAGGCAGCCCCCUGGGUCAAGAUUGACGCUCAUGCACGAAAGCGUGGGGAGCAAACAGGAUUAGAAACCCCAGUAGUCCCAUGAU
rnacentral:rRNA from 1 species